rnacentral:hammerhead_ribozyme from 1 species
AUCUAACUGACGAGUUCCAAUUAGAACGAAAUGCUCAUUCUGGAU